rnacentral:rRNA from 1 species
GACAAACGCUGGCGGCGUGCUUCACACAUGCAAGUCGAACGGAAAGGCCCGCUUGCGGGUACUCGAGUGGCGAACGGGUGAGUAACACGUGGGUAACCUGCCCACCUCUGNACGGAUACGUGAACGGCGCUAAUACCGGAUACGACCACCUUCCGCAUGGUUGGUGGUGGAAAGUUUUUGCGGUUGGGGAGGGCCCGCGGCCUAUCAGCUUGUUGGUGCGGUAGUGGCGUACCAAGGCUUUGACGGGUAGCCGGCCUGAGAGGGCGGUCGGUCACAUUGGGACUGUGAUACGGCCCAGACUCCUACGGGAGGCAGCAGUGGGGAAUUUGCACAAUGGGCGGAAGCCUGAUGCAGCGACGCCGCGUGCGGGAUGAC